GUAAUGCCUGCCCUGUGGAAACCCUAAACGGCCGCGGCAUAAAACCGUGCAAAGGUAGCACAAUCACUUGUCCCCUAAAUGAGGACCCGUAUGAAAGGCAACAUGAGAGAGGACCUGUCUCCUGAGGUAGACCAAUGAAAUUGAACAGCCAGUACAAAAGCUGGCAUUCACCAGCAAGACAAAAAGACCCCAUGGAACUUUAACAAAUCAUUAACAAAACUUAAUGAUAGUUUCGGUUGGGACAACCUUAGAAAAACCAAACUUCUAAACUUAACAUAGACCAAUAAGUCUAAUAUACUAAGCUGAUCCGGUCAAACUGACUAAUGAAACAAGCUACCCUGGGGAUAACAGCGCCACCUUCUUAUAGAGUUCUUAUCAACAAGAAGACCUACGACCUCGAUGUUGGAUCAGGGUAUCCUGACGGUGUAGCAGCUGUCAAGGGUUCGU
rnacentral:rRNA from 1 species